UGAGGAAUAUUGGUCAAUGGGCGAGAGUCUGAACCAGCCAAGUAGCGUGCAGGAUGACGGCCCUAUGGGUUGUAAACUGCUUUUAUGCGGGGAUAAAGUGAGGCACGUGUACCUUUUUGUAGGUACCAGUAUGAAUAAGGACCGGCUAAUUCCGUG
rnacentral:rRNA from 1 species